rnacentral:rRNA from 1 species
AUACGUAGGGUGCGAGCGUUAAUCGGAAUUACUGGGCGUAAAGCGUGCGCAGGCGGUUUUGUAAGACAGGCGUGAAAUCCCCGGGCUCAACCUGGGAAUGGCGCUUGUGACUGCAAGGCUAGAGUGCGUCAGAGGGGGGUAGAAUUCCACGUGUAGCAGUGAAAUGCGUAGAGAUGUGGAGGAAUACCGAUGGCGAAGGCAGCCCCCUGGGACGAGACUGACGCUCAUGCACGAAAGCGUGGGGAGCAAACAGAAUUAGAAACCCCAGUAGUCC